CAGGCAACGGCCCGAAGGGCGAAGCGCGCAGCGCUGAGUAAUCUCUCCCCCACCACCA
rnacentral:sRNA from 1 species